GGGAACUGCGUUNUGAACUGGGUAGCUAGAGUAUGUCAGAGGGGGGUAGAAUUCCACGUGUAGCAGUGAAAUGCGUAGAGAUGUGGAGGAAUACCGAUGGCGAAGGCAGCCCCCUGGGAUAAUACUGACGUUCAUGCUCGAAAGCGUGGGUAGCAAACAGGAUUAGAUACCCUGGUAGUCCACGCCCUAAACGAUGUCGAUUAGCUGUUGGGCAACUUGAUUGCUUAGUAGCGUAGCUAACGCGUGAAAUCGACCGCCUGGGGAGUACGGUCGCAAGAUUAAAACUCAAAGGAAUUGACGGGGACCCGCACAAGCGGUGGAUGAUGUGGAUUAAUUCGAUGCAACGCGAAGAACCUUACCUGGUCUUGACAUGUACGGAAGAACUCAGAGACGAGUUUGUGCCUUCGGGAGCCGUAACACAGGUGCUGCAUGGCUGUCGUCAGCUCGUGUCGUGAGAUGUUGGGUUAAGUCCCGCAACGAGCGCAACCCUUGUCAUUAGUUGCCAUCAUUUAGUUGGGCACUCUAAUGAGACUGCCGGUGACAAACCGGAGGAAGGUGGGGAUGACGUCAAGUCCUCAUGGCCCUUAUGACCAGGGCUUCACACGUCAUACAAUGGUCGGUACAGAGGGUAGCCAAGCCGCGAGGUGGGGCCAAUCCCAGAAAACCGGUCGUAGUCCGGAUUGCACUCUGCAACUCGAGUGCAUGAAGUCGGAAUCGCUAGUAAUCGCAGGUCAGCAUACUGCGGUGAAUACGUUCCCGGGUCUUGUACACACCGCCCGUCACACCAUGGGAGUGGGGGAUACCAGAAGUAGGUAGGGUAACCGCAAGGAGCCCG
rnacentral:rRNA from 1 species